AGCACGGCCCUCCACCUCGGUGGCGUUCUGGUUGCUAUGCCCUUUUGUGGCUGUGACUGCCCGCCCUCACAACGGCCCGUUUUCUUCCCAGUGCUCUGAACUUUUGGGCAAAUGUGUCAAGUGUGUACACAGACAAAGCCUCACUUCAAAGCUCGUGUUCAGGGCCCUUAAAGUCAUAGUUAUUGCAAAACUGCGGCCGUCUGGCGAACCUGCCUUAUGUAAGGGUGCUUGAACGUAUGAUUCACCAAACAUUUCCGCAGACAUCGCAAAGUUGUUGGAGCCAGAGUAGGAGAAAGACCACCCAUUUGAGAUCAUGGCUUGACAGGUCUCACAGGACAACUCAUCUCUCCACCUCUAUCCCCGUUUGGCGAGGCCUGUAUUUCGUGCCGUUUUUUUUUGGGGGGGGGCGGGGGAGUGGGGGGGGGUCAAGUUAACUCAUCUUUCAUGAUUUGUCUUAGGGAACACUCCCUCCUGCCACCAGAAUGGGACCAAUCUAGACAUCUCUUCUCUGGCUUCCUUGUGCCUGGCCUUUUUUGGAGGGUUGGGAUAGUGGCCUGUCUUCAUGCAUGGUGAGAUAACACCAACAUCGAAGGAAGAUCUUUGCCACAGAGGAUCCUAGUUCCAGCUCCCAGGUACUUAUUUAUAUUUCCUAAAUGUCAGUGGAGUAUUCCAUUAGAACUGACCACUACCCAUGAACAGUUACUACCAAGCUAACACUUCCUCCUUCCUUCACUCUUAUUUCCGUGUAUUCCACUCAGCAUUUCUCUUUAAGUCUUAAAAAAAAAAAGUUAUUUUCUGCUGAGACCUGUUGGAUAGGAACCCACAAGUAAAUCACUUAGCUGUGCUUCAAAGGAAAAAGUAUUCAAAGUAGAAUUAUACAAAAUAGCCAAAAA
rnacentral:lncRNA from 1 species